GCGCAGCCACAGGAGAGCAGGACUACGGUAGCGGCAGGGAGCAAAGCAGUGCACAGCCAUGGAGAGCGGGACUACGAGGGGUACAAAGGGCCGCACGGGCACCGGAGAGCACGGCUGCGGGAGAAACAAGCGGGUGCACGGCCACGGGACAGCGUAAGAGGCAGAUUCGAGCCUUGGACCUGUAGGCUGGACCGUGUUCCUGAGCCGUGCAGUUAGCAACAAGUGCCUCAGAGCUUCUGAACUGGUGAAGUCACUGCAUGGCUACAUCUGGUAGUUGUUAAAGACAACAAAGGCAACACCUUCUCUCAGAAUGAGAGUCCUCUUUGGAAAUUCAUAGUCCCCCUUAAGGUAUGACCAUAAAAGAACUGUUUUGCAGGAACACUCUCUAGAAGGCCUGUUUCUUUUGUGAUUGACACAGGAAUAGAUAGUCAAUUCUUGUGUAACUUUGGACACUUCAGUUUCUCUCUUCGUCGGUUUUGCCAUUUAUAAUAUUGAGUUGUCCUAGUGUUUGUCUUUUUUGUUUGCUUGGGUAACAACAGCAUGAUGUCUGCGCCGUAACUGUGAUUUAUAGAAUCAAAGAAUCAUUAAGGUUGGAAAAGACCUCUAGGAUCCUCAAGUCCAGCUGUCACCCAACAGCACCAUGACUCCUAAACCAUGCCCUGAAGUGCCACAUCAACAUGUUUUUUUAACACCUCUAGGGAUGGGGAC